UGGGUAUGGGGUACAUAACAAACGACGUCUCGAGGGAGCAGACGACGCCACCAGACCACGUGACACCACACCACAACACGGUGUCCACCUGCCUGCCUCUAGUGGCGUGACCUGCCUGGUGACAAGGAGAGGGACAAUGUUUCGUAUGGGAGGUCCUCGUCUGGACCCUGCCGAGGAGAGGAGGCAGGCCCAGGAGGAGGAGCGGAUGGCCAGGUUGUUGGUGUACUCCAACAUCGGCACUUUCCUCGCCACCAUUGGCAUCAUUCGAGCAGCUCCAUAUAUUUUGGAACGGUUCUUCUGAAAAUUGGAGUCAACUAGUGAAAGAUGCGAGAAAUUGGUGGGAAGGAAUACUGUAAUGACAAGUUACUGAGUAGAUGACACAAGUUCAAAAUGUGUUGGGUGAUUUAUUUGACUAGGUUUAUUCUAUAAAUAAAAGAUUUUAUGUAA